rfam:Paraphaeosphaeria sporulosa strain AP3s5-JAC2a unplaced genomic scaffold CC84scaffold_3, whole genome shotgun sequence.
GGCCCGCUGGCGCAACGGUAGCGCGUCAGAUUCCAGAUGAAUUCAUUGGAACUUCCUGAAGGUUACCUGUUCGAAUCAGGUGUGGGUCA